CUUAGCGGCGGACGGGUGAGUAACGCGUGGGCAACCUGCCUUACACAGGGGGAUAACAAUUAGAAAUGAUUGCUAAUACCGCAUAAGACCCCAGUACCGCAUGGUACAGAGGUAAAAACUGAGGUGGUGUAAGAUGGGCCCGCGUCUGAUUAGGUAGUUGGUGGGGUAGAAGCCUACCAAGCCGACGAUCAGUAGCCGACCUGAGAGGGCGACCGGCCACAUUGGGACUGAGACACGGCCCAAACUCCUACGGGAGGCAGCAG
rnacentral:rRNA from 1 species